rnacentral:misc_RNA from 1 species
UCCCAAGGACGGGUAAGGGA